rnacentral:lncRNA from 1 species
CAUAGGGCGCUGAUACAGAGCGAUGUAGCGCUCUCUCUGAGCAUUAUCUCUAUAGGCCACGUGCAUAUCAUCGAAAUCCUGCAUCCUGUAAAAGUUAAGAAAGUGAUCCUGAAAAUGCAAACCAUUCAAAUUUUUAGUCUCGAUGCAAAAUAAAAAUAAAAUAAAAUAAAAUAAAAUAAAAUAAAAUAAAAUAAAUGCGAAAA